rnacentral:lncRNA from 1 species
AAAAAAAGAGCCUAAAAUCAGAUAAAAAGUGUACACUAGAGUGUACAUCAGUAAAGAUAAAAAAAAAAAAAUAAUAAUAAAAGGAUGAUCAGUCAUAGGAGACUUAUGUCGCAGCCUAGAACCAAGUCCUAACAAGCGUGCUGCUGCAAUGCAACGCUGCUUCUUCCUCUCCGGCGAUGCUAUUCUGCUUCGGUGGUUACACUACCGUCUUCUUGUUCCACCGGCCACCAUGUCAAACGUUCCUCAGGUUUUACUUUUUCCUCAUUCUUGUUUCCUUUCAUGGUCUAUUUUUUUUACCAAUAAGUAAAUGGAAAACGCACAAUCAAGUGACGUUAAAAGGAAACCCUAGUUUUAUGUAUUUAUUUAUUUUGAUAUCAUAAUGCUUCAAUUGUUCUGUUAGUUUACGAUACUGGUAAUAUAAUUUAACAUUAAACAACAUGAUGAACUUGAUUUUCUUUGAUCUUUAGAUUCCUUUAACCAAAAUAGUUUACCUAGAUUGUUUAAUUAGUUAACUGAGGGAACAUUUGGAUUUGAAUGAUUAAUAAAUGUUGAAUAUUUUUAUGCUCUUUUCUACAUAAGUAGAGAAAACACUUUUUUGUAACACAACUAAGGUGAUCUUUGUUUAUAGAUGGUAAUAAGCUUUUAGAAUUCUCUAGUUAAACUAGUUUCAUCCAAACAAGGAAGACCAAAUACUGAGUUAGUGUUGUCAAAUUAUAUAAUCUUGUAUUUGAAACUGUAGAGAGUUUGAAAGUUGGAGAUCAUAUCAUUCCACAAGUUAUGGGGUUUAAAUAUCUGAGUCUGUAAUACAAAACGAUAGGUAGCUAAAAUGGAGACCGACCUUGGGGGUUUUACGUGACACAAAAGUACCGCUCAAGCUGAAGGGAGAAUUUUAUUGAACAAUGGGUAGACCUGCGAUACUGUACAAGACAAAAUGUUGGGCAAUUAAGUAUCAACCGGAGAAUAAAAAAAGUGUAGUACAUAUGAGGAUGUUGCGUUGGAUGUGUGGUAAGAUUAGACGAGGUAAGAUUAUAAAUAAUAAUAUUUGAGAGAAUGUUGGGAUAACACCUAAAACAUAGUGGAAAAUAGGCUUAGCUGGUUUGGACAUGUAGAGAGAAGACUUGUAGAUUAUGUUGUAAAGAGAAUAGAUCAGAUGGAAAAGAGUCAAACAACUAGAAGUGGAGGAAGACUUAGAAAACCUAUAAGAGAAACUAUUAAAAAACAUCUCGAGAUUAACAAAUUGGAUAGAAACAUGUCUUAAAUAGAACAUCAUGGCGGAAUUUGAUCCAUGUAGCUGAUCCUAUUUAAUGAGAUAAAACUUGGUUGUUGCUGUAUUGAAACUGUUCUUGUCAUCUAUGACCAGUAUUGUAUACUUUAGUAGUAGAAGUGUUAUUGUUAGUGUCAUGGAAGUAAGGUAGUUUUACUGUUUUUGUUGCAAGGUGAUAUCUGUUAACUCUACAACUUUUCAUUUGUAUAGAAGAUAUGGUGAUAGGCAUAUAAUGAUUAUAAAAUGCAAGGAUAAAAUAACAAAAAAAACACAAGCUAUUGAUAAGAUGAAAUCCUAAUACUCAAAUACAUUGGCAUGUGCAUCCAAAUUGUAAUAUCAUGACGUAUUGAGUUUUGAAGAUAUUGUUUAUUUCCCAAAUUUAUGGUUUACUAUUGCCAAUUCUAACAUAUAAAUCGAAAUAUGAUGAACAAGAAUUAUAAAUUGCUAGAUUUAAUACGACAAUAAAAGAGAAAUAUGCAAAAUUAUAAGAACAAGAAUAAUAAUAAGAAAAUGAAAAUAGGGAGGGGUGGAGCCACAAUCAAGCUUCUAAGUAGAAGUUGUAUGAUAAGUCUUGGGGAAUGAUCGCUACACAAAAAAACUUGAUUUCUUGAUAAGAUCAAAAGGAUGGUCCAAUCCUUAGCCAAAAAGAGACAUAAUCUCACAAAUUUAAAAAGUGUAAUUUUUCAACAAAAAUCUUAUGUGUUUGUAUUUCUUUGGGCGUGACAUAUUUAUAGGAAAAGGAUGAUCAGCAUUACUGAAGUUACAAGAGAAGAUAGGACAAGACAUUGAAUUAGAAUUGUUCCUUUUCUCAAAACAUGUUACCCUUCAUGAAUUCCUUUCUCAUCAAGCUUCGUUUUAUCUCAUAAAAGCCAUGGUCUCCUCAUAAAACCUUUCUUACUUAUAAUGGCUUAGGCUAUAUAAGUGCUUCUGCACCCCCUUUUGAGCUCUCUUGGACUCCACCCUUCAAUCAUGAUUCAAUCCACUUUUAUUUCAACAAAAACACACAAAACAAGGGGAAAUUAAGGCUGCAUCUCACACGUAAUGAGCAACUUCACAUUGGAUCAAAACACAAACAAAAAUAAAAUAAAACUAAGUGUUGGUGUCUAAUUAAUAAAUAUUCUACACCCACACUUUUCAUUACAACUUAAUUAAACUAAAACAAGUAAGAAUGGGAUGCAUUUCAUGCACCUUAUUCUUGAAACUAAAUUUCAGCUCUUGAAGAUUUGGUCUAAAGUGCUCCUUCAAAGUUCACAUCAGAUUACAAAACACACCAUAUUCGUAGACAACCAACGAAGGAUAAAGUAACAAAAACACACUACCUAUUGAUAACAUGAAAUCCAAAUACUCAAAUACAUUGGCAUGUGCAUCCACAUUAUAAUAUCCUGACAGAACAAGUUUUGAAGAGAUUGUUUAUCUGCGCUUAACUGUGAUAGGACUCCUUACAAUGUGUUUUCCAUCUGUCCAUUGCAAAUCCCCAAAUUGGUAUUUCCCCCUUGGAGUCACAUUUGUUGCCUGCACAAUAACUUGGAAUGUUUUCUUUUCACCAAUUUUCUUGAAAGUCAAGGAGUUCGGUACGACAGCAAUUUUAUAUCCAGGCAAAUGUACUCUUGCAGAAUAUGUAUUUGGUGAUCCAACAUUGGUGACUGUGCGAGUGACGUUAAUGGCAUAUAAACCAAGAUUUGGUAAUGUGAUUGAAGGGUAGUUCAAGUCUGUUAUACUGUGAGAUCCGGAACAUGUAAAUGUACCGUUGAAAUUAAGUGCUGAAAUGAGCUGUUGGUCGUACCCAUAAGCACAUAGGAAGUUCAAGUAAUCCUUAAUGCCUAGAUCAUAAACUAGUCCAGGAUCUAUUGCAGGGUCAGGUUGUACAUGCCCUGAACCAUAAGCAAAUGGAGUUGCCAAUUUUUUGUCAAACGCAUCCUGAAUUGGCUUGUUCGUGUUAUCUCGUGUGGUUGCUGGAAGGAUAUAUAACUAAUGAAGUUAGAAAUCUUGUGUUUGAUAAAAAACAGGCAAGUGUAUUGUGAGUGUACCUGUGGUCAUGAUAGCUGAUUUAAUCGCUGCUGGACUCCAGUUUGGAUGGAGUGUUUUGAUAAGUCCUGCAAUUCCAGCCACAUGAGGGCAAGACAUAGAGGUUCCUUGUAGUACAUUGAAUGGAACUCCUCGGCGAUUGUCUGUUAGUAAGUUUGAUGCACUUGCGAAUAGUGAAUAGGCAGCAAGUAUGUUCACACCUGGUGCAGUCACAUCAGGCUGAAACAAAGAACAAAUUAGAAAAACGCAUAGAAAAAAAUUACAACAAAUAUAAGAUGUGUUAUAGAAACAAGGUACAUGUGUAUACCUUGAGUAUUGAUGGCUGAAUCUUAUUGGGUCCUCUAGAUGAGAAUGAAGCCAUUACUGGGGCUGGUUUUCUUCCAUAGAAUGUUUUUGCUCCUGAAAACCUUAUUGUAGUACCUGUUUUUAAUUCAGAGUCCCUGCGAUUAUAAGUAUAAUGUGUAUGGUUAGAGCCUUUCAUUUGUAACAUGUCAACAAAUGUAACAGCUUUAAAAGGGUAUGUGUGUGCGCGCACAUGUGUGUGUGUGUGUGUGUGAUUGGGGGAGGAAGAGUUAGACGGAUAUAUAAUCAACUACAUUGAAGUUGUGUCAAAGGCAGGAGCAUGUGACCCUCCACGAUCUGGCAAAGCAGGAGGAUGGUAAUCGUUUUCUUUAUGUGGCUGACUAACACAAGACAAAACAUGUGGCUCAGCAAGAGUUGUUUUCCCUUGUUGUGGUCGAUUGCUUAAAAGCAUUCCCUUUGCGCCUGCAGAUGAAGCUUCUUGACCUUCAGCAACUGAUUUUAUACUUCCUUCUCGAUUGCAUGCUACUAUUUUCCCCUUCACUUUUGAAGGAUCAAGUGUUCCGGGCCUACAAAGUCGUCUGCAACAAUACAUAUAAAAAAAGUGUAUGAAAUGAUCAUUUAAUUAGUUAGUAAGUUUAUUUCAAAGUAAAGCAUUUGAGAUUGGUACUUACGCGUCACGAUUUGUCGCAUUGGCAAGCUUACCAUCCGUAGCAAGAAUCAAAGAAAAGGCUUUGUUUGGUGGCAAGUUUACAAAAAGACUGGCUCCCUAGGAAUAGAAAAUAGAAAACAAUUAUUUCAAAUUUAAAUACUAUAACUUAAUAAGAAGAAGAGAAAUAAUUAGAACUACGAUGGCAUUUACCGUCACUUGUUGAUUGUUACCAAAAGUUAUAGUACUGCUGAAAUCUCUGUCUAAUGUACUUGCAGCAAUUGUGAAAACCCAUGGAGCUACAUUCACAACACUUCCUGGUGUUGGUCCAUCAUUUCCUGCAGAAGCAACUAACAAUAUUAUUUCUAGAAAGUGCAUGAAAUGCACCUAUUGAAACUCGUCGGUAAAAAUAUCUUCGGGAUUAACAAGGUAUUGCCAGCAGCUGAAAGUGAGAUUAUAUCAACACCAUCACUAAUGGCUUGAUCAAUAGCAGCCAACACAUCCGCACCAAAGCAGUCAGCAACAUCUGUUAGAGACCAAACACACUUUGUAGGUUGCAACUUUAGCUCUUGGGGAACCACCUUUUACAGUACCAUUGCCAAUAGCAAAUAUACUUGCUCCUGGAACAAAGUUUCCACCAGCUGUUGAUAAGUGGUGAGUUCCGUGGCCUACAAAG